UUGGAGUAGUAAUAUUAAUGAAAUUUAACGGAUUUGGCGGCAAGAUAGCCCCUUAGAGGAACCUGCCCUGUAAACGAUGAGCCACGAUGGACUCUACUUUUUUUGGUAAUCAGUUUGUAUAUCGCUGUUGUCAGUUAGAUUCUUGAGAAUAUUUUCGUUCAUGAAAAGUUCAUUGACUUCAAGUAAAGGUGCAGCUUAUAAGAAAGAUAGAGGUGGGUUACAUUUAUAAGAAUAAGACGGAGAGGAUGAUUGAAAUAGUCCUCGAAGGUGGAUUUAACUGUAAAACUUAAUUAGGUUUGGUGAGAGCUC
rnacentral:rRNA from 1 species